rnacentral:rRNA from 1 species
AGAGUUUGAUCCUGGCCCAGGACGAACGCUGGCGGCGCGCCUAACACAUGCAAGUCGAACGAGCGAGAGAGAGCUUGCUUUCUCGAGCGAGUGGCGAACGGGUGAGUAACGCGUGAGGAACCUGCCUCAAAGAGGGGGACAACAGUUGGAAACGACUGCUAAUACCGCAUAAGCCCAUGGCUCGGCAUCGAGCAGAGGGAAAAGGAGCAAUCCGCUUUGAGAUGGCCUCGCGUCCGAUUAGCUAGUUGGUGAGGUAAUGGCCCACCAAGGCAACGAUCGGUAGCCGGACUGAGAGGUUGAACGGCCACAUUGGGACUGAGACACGGCCCAGACUCCUACGGGAGGCAGCAGUGGGGAAUAUUGCACAAUGGGGGAAACCCUGAUGCAGCGACGCCGCGUGGAGGAAGAAGGUCUUCGGAUUGUAAACUCCUGUUGUUGGGGAAGAUAAUGACGGUACCCAACAAGGAAGUGACGGCUAACUACGUGCCAGCAGCCGCGGUAAAACGUAGGUCACAAGCGUUGUCCGGAAUUACUGGGUGUAAAGGGAGCGCAGGCGGGAAGACAAGUUGGAAGUGAAAUCUAUGGGCUCAACCCAUAAACUGCUUUCAAAACUGUUUUUCUUGAGUAGUGCAGAGGUAGGCGGAAUUCCCGGUGUAGCGGUGGAAUGCGUAGAUAUCGGGAGGAACACCAGUGGCGAAGGCGGCCUACUGGGCACCAACUGACGCUGAGGCUCGAAAGUGUGGGUAGCAAACAGGAUUAGAUACCCUGGUAGUCCACACCGUAAACGAUGAUUACUAGGUGUUGGAGGAUUGACCCCUUCAGUGCCGCAGUUAACACAAUAAGUAAUCCACCUGGGGAGUACGACCGCAAGGUUGAAACUCAAAGGAAUUGACGGGGGCCCGCACAAGCAGUGGAGUAUGUGGUUUAAUUCGACGCAACGCGAAGAACCUUACCAAGUCUUGACAUCCCUUGACAGGCAUAGAAAUAUGUUUUCUCUUCGGAGCAAGGAGACAGGUGGUGCAUGGUUGUCGUCAGCUCGUGUCGUGAGAUGUUGGGUUAAGUCCCGCAACGAGCGCAACCCUUAUGGUCAGUUACUACGCAAGAGGACUCUGGCCAGACUGCCGUUGACAAAACGGAGGAAGGUGGGGAUGACGUCAAAUCAUCAUGCCCUUUAUGACUUGGGCUACACACGUACUACAAUGGCGUUAAACAAAGAGAAGCAAGACCGCGAGGUGGAGCAAAACUCAGAAACAACGUCCCAGUUCGGACUGCAGGCUGCAACUCGCCUGCACGAAGUCGGAAUUGCUAGUAAUCGUGGAUCAGCAUGCCACGGUGAAUACGUUCCCGGGCCUUGUACACACCGCCCGUCACACCAUGAGAGCCGGGGGGACCCGAAGUCGGUA